CUGGCUCAGGAUGAACGCUGGCGGCGUGCCUAACACAUGCAAGUCGAACGGAUUUUGCUCGCAGCAGAGACUUCGGUCGAAGCUUGAGUAAAGUUAGUGGCGGACGGGUGAGUAACGCGUGGGCAACCUGCCUCAUACUGGGGGAUAACAGUUGGAAACGACUGUUAAUACCGCAUAAGCGCACAGUGUCGCAUGACACAGUGUGAAAAACUCCGGUGGUAUGAGAUGGGCCCGCGUCAGAUUAGCCAGUUGGCGGGGUAACGGCCCACCAAAGCGACGAUCUGUAGCCGGACUGAGAGGUCGGACGGCCACAUUGGGACUGAGACACGGCCCAAACUCCUACGGGAGGCAGCAGUGGGGGAUAUUGCACAAUGGAGGAAACUCUGAUGCAGCGACGCCGCGUGAGUGAAGAAGUAUUUCGGUAUGUAAAGCU
rnacentral:rRNA from 1 species